GGUCNAGUAAUGUCUAGGGAACUGCCUGAUGGAGGGGGAUAACUACUGGAAACGGUAGCUAAUACCGCAUAACGUCGCAAGACCAAAGAGGGGGACCUUCGGGCCUCUUGCCAUCAGAUGUGCCCAGAUGGGAUUAGCUAGUAGGUGGGGUAANGGCUCACCUAGGCGACGAUCCCUAGCUGGUCUGAGAGGAUGACCAGCCACACUGGAACUGAGACACGGUCCAGACUCCUACGGGAGGCAGCAGUGGGGGAAUAUUGCACAAUGGGCGCAAGCCUGAUGCAGCCAUGCCGCGUGUAUGAAGAAGGCCUUCGGGUUGUAAAGUACUUUCAGCGGGGAAGGAAGGUGUUGUGGUUAAUAACCUCNGCAAUUGACGUUACCCCGCAANAAGAAGCACCGGCUAACUCCGUGCCAGCAGCCGCGGUAAUACGGAAGGGUGCAAGCGUUAGCGCCGGUUAUCGGGAUUACUGGGCGUAAGCGCACGCAGGCGGUCUGUCAAGUCGGAUGUGAAAUCCCCGGGCUCAACCUGGGAACUGCAUUCGAAACUGGCAGGCUAGAGUCUUGUAGAGGGGGGUAGAAUUCCAGGUGUAGCGGUGAAAUGCGUAGAGAUCUGGAGGAAUACCGGUGGCGAAGGCGGCCCCCUGGACAAAGACUGACGCUCAGGUGCGAAAGCGUGGGGAGCAAACAGGAUUAGAUACCCUGGUAGUCCACGCCGUAAACGAUGUCGACUUGGAGGUUGUGCCCUUGAGGCGUGGCUUCCGGAGCUAACGCGUUAAGUCGACCGCCUGGGGAGUACGGCCGCAAGGUUAAAACUCAAAUGAAUUGACGGGGGCCCGCACAAGCGGUGGAGCAUGUGGUUUAAUUCGAUGCAACGCGAAGAACCUUACCUACUCUUGACAUCCAGAGAACUUUCCAGAGAUGCUUU
rnacentral:rRNA from 1 species